rnacentral:miRNA from 1 species
UUGAAAAUCAUUAGAAAAUCCUGUGUUAUUAAUUUAUUUAAUAAAUUAAUAACACAGGAUUUUCUAAUGAUUUUCAAUA